UUUCCGUAGGUGAACCUGCGGAAGGAUCAUUCAUAAUAAGUGUUUUAUGGCACUUUUUUAAAUCCAUAUCCACCUUGUGUGCAAUGUCAGGGUUGAUUUUUCUCUCGAGAGGAUCAGCCCCAACAUCAACUAUAUCUCAACUCUUUGUCUGAAAAAUAUUAUGAAUAAAACAAUUCAAAAUACAACUUUCAACAACGGAUCUCUUGGCUCUC
rnacentral:misc_RNA from 1 species